AUUAGCCGGGCGUGGUGGCGCAUGCCUGUAAUCCCACCUACUCGAGAGGCUGAGGCAGGAGAAUCACUUGAACCCGGGAGGCCGAGACUGCAUUGAGACAAGAUUACACUACUGAACUCCAGCCUGGGUGACAGAGAGAGACCUUGUCUCAAAAAAAAAAAAAAAAAA